UAAUGUUUGUUCAGCUUUUAA
ensembl:piRNA 21ur-1675 ncRNA